GGUAGGCGUAAUAACCGGACGUAAGAAAAGACGGAGUCGCAUGAUCAGCUUUUAAAAGGCGGCGUAAGCUGUCGCUAUGGGAUGGCCCCGCGGUGCAUUAGCUAGUUGGUAAGGUAAAGGCUUACCAAGGCGAUGAUGCAUAGCCGAGUUGAGAGACUGAUCGGCCACAUUGGGACUGAGACACGGCCCAAACUCCUACGGGAGGCAGCAGUC
rnacentral:rRNA from 1 species